AUUAGAGUUUGAUCCUGGCUCAGGACGAACGCUGGCGGCGUGCCUAAUACAUGCAAGUCGAGCGCUUGCACAAGAAAGCUUGCUUUCUUGUUGCUUGAGCGGCGGACGGGUGAGUAACACGUGGGCAACCUGCCUAUAAGACUGGGAUAACUUCGGGAAACCGGAGCUAAUACCGGAUAAUGCUUUUGAACACAUGUUUGAAAGCUGAAAGAUGGUUUCGGCUAUCACUUAUAGAUGGGCCCGCGGCGCAUUAGCUAGUUGGUGAGGUAACGGCUCACCAAGGCGACGAUGCGUAGCCGACCUGAGAGGGUGAUCGGCCACACUGGGACUGAGACACGGCCCAGACUCCUACGGGAGGCAGCAGUAGGGAAUCUUCCGCAAUGGACGAAAGUCUGACGGAGCAACGCCGCGUGAGUGAUGAAGGUUUUCGGAUCGUAAAACUCUGUUGUUAGGGAAGAACAAGUAUCGGAGUAACUGCCGGUACCUUGACGGUACCUAACCAGAAAGCCACGGCUAACUACGUGCCAGCAGCCGCGGUAAUACGUAGGUGGCAAGCGUUGUCCGGAAUUAUUGGGCGUAAAGCGCGCGCAGGCGGUUCCUUAAGUCUGAUGUGAAAGCCCACGGCUCAACCGUGGAGGGUCAUUGGAAACUGGGGAACUUGAGUGCAGAAGAGAAGAGCGGAAUUCCACGUGUAGCGGUGAAAUGCGUAGAGAUGUGGAGGAACACCAGUGGCGAAGGCGGCUCUUUGGUCUGUAACUGACGCUGAGGCGCGAAAGCGUGGGGAGCAAACAGGAUUAGAUACCCUAGUAGUCCACGCCGUAAACGAUGAGUGCUAAGUGUUAGAGGGUUUCCGCCCUUUAGUGCUGCAGCAAACGCAUUAAGCACUCCGCCUGGGGAGUACGGCCGCAAGGCUGAAACUCAAAGGAAUUGACGGGGGCCCGCACAGCGGUGGAGCAUGUGGUUUAUUCGAGCACGCGAGACUACAGGUCUGACAUCUCUGCACCCUAGAGAUAGGCGUCCCUUCCGGGGACGAUUGACAGGUGGUGCAUGGCUGUCGUUCAGCUCGUUCGUGAGAUGUCGUUAAGUUCCGCAACGAGGCCAAUCUGACUUAGUGCCAGCAUCAGUGGAACUCUGAAGGUACUGCGCGGUAUCU
rnacentral:rRNA from 2 species